AGAGAGAGACAUGCGCGCAUAUCAAUAAGCGGAGGAAAAGAAACUAACAAGGAUUCCCUUAGUAACGGCGAGUGAAGCGGGAAGAGCUCAAAUUUGAAAUCUUCAAGGUUUUACCUUGACGAAUUGUAGUUUAAAGAAGUGUUUUCUGCUGAAGUUUUGGUAAAAGUUCUUUGGAAUAGGACAUCAUAGAGGGUGAGAAUCCCGUAUUUGACCAUUAUUUUCAGCUUUGUGAUACACUUUCAAAGAGUCGGAUUGUUUCGGGAAUGCAGUCCAAAAUGAGUGGUAAAUUUCAUCUAAAGCUAAAUAUUGGCGAGAGACCGAUAGCGAACAAGUACCGUGAGGGAAAGAUGAAAAGAACUUUGAAAAGAGAGUUAAACAGUACGUGAAAUUGUCAAAAAGGGAAGCGUUUGACACCAGUGUUGUUUUCUCGAAAAUCAAUUAAAAAUGGCUCGAUUUUGUAUUGCUUGAGACCUUAAAAGCUCACUGUACAUUUUUCGUGUCUUUUUUAAUGCACUUUUCGUUUAACAAGUCAACAUCAGUUUCUUUUGUUGUAAAAGGGUCAUUGGAAGGUGGCUUUCUUUUCGGAGAAAGUGUUUAUAGCCUUUGGCCUCUGCAAUCGGAGAGACUGAGGUCUGCAGCGUAGACUCUUCGGGGUUAGAUACAUUUGUGCUAAGUUAUAGCUUUUUAUAGACAACUUGUUGACUAUAAUUAGUCUUGUAGCUUACUCGCUUAUGCUAUUUUACCUACGCUUAGGAUGUUGAGUCGUAGAGCACGCAG
rnacentral:rRNA from 1 species